GUGAUCGCGACAAUACGGUUAGACACAUCUGAUCCUUCGUCAGAUACGCGCACCUUCUUGUCAUUUCAAUCGAAUGCACUUAAGCGGAGCUAGAAUGAAGACCGGUUUUGUGCUGUGUUUCUGCCUUGGCAUCGUCUGCCUGGUAGCCGCCGACGAGGCCGAAGAUGUGGCAAAGCUCAUUGAGCAGAACGUUCGCGAAAACGCUGGAAGUGAUGAACUUGCGGAGAGACUACUGGCAACAUCGAAGCUCAUUCAGGAAUGCGCCGCAGAACACAAGGAAGAUGGCAUCGCACUGCUUAAAAAGUUCACUGUGCCCGUAUCUAAAGAGGGAACGCGAUGCGUCGCAACUAAAUCUGGAAUCACAGACGCCGCUGAAAGAGACGCUGCUGAGAAAGAAUGCUGGCGGGAAGCUUCAAAACGUCAGAAGGAAGCAACUCCACUAACGGAGAAAGAAACUGUCAUCUACGACGCCAUCAAGGUUUGUUUUCUUGCGAAACUGGCUGCGCUGGAUGCUAGCAAGCCUUGAAGAGCAGCAACAGCCCACAAGCGUUCACCAAGUUUAACUACUUGUACUGCUUGACCGAGGACUGCGUUCGCCCCAAACGGAAACAGUGAAGGCUUCAGACAACAGCACCUAGAUGCAAUUUGUUCGCUCACUCAAACCAUAUGGAACCACUUGAAGCAAAGAACUUCCUUCUGUUAUUGUUCAUCAAUCGCAAUAAAUAAAUUCA